CCCUACUCUUUGCAGCGUUCUCUGUCUCAUCCUCUUUGCUGAGUUGAAGCUCGCCGGCUUCACCUUCUUUGUCUGCCCUCUCCACCGACAACGAUUCUGCUAUUCCAUAAGUCUUUCUCUACAUUUUUCAUUUUCAUUUCUAAAGCGUAAAUGGGACCUUGUAUUUCCUCUACUCCAAAUUUGAACUUGUUGCCCCUACCAACUAGGUGAAGAUCUGAUGCAGUAACGUGUUUUAAGUCACAAUCUGGAUCCCUCACUUCCUCUAUUUCUUAAAUUUCAAGUCACAAUUUCAUUGAGUUUGUUCUCGCCCUUUGCCUUGCAAACUUAGGUAAAUUUGGUGUCUGAGUUUUGCGUUUUUUGUUUAUAUUUUAGGAAUAUGAAUUCACAACUUGAAUUUUGUUGAGUUCACAAAUUGUUUUCAAUAGGAGCGUCAAAAGUAAAGAUGUUUUAUCUGAUAAGAUGUUUUGCUGCGUAAAAUGUAAAAUUUCAUUCAGCUGAUGGAGAUUGAGGUAUUCUUCCAGGCGAUGAGUUCGCUUCGUGAAUUCAGAUGUUUCCUUAAUUUUGAGUCUGCGAUGCCUUGCAAAUUCUGUAUGUUGCCUAUAACAGAGGGACUCUUCCAUCAGACUGUUCAAGUGCUGUUGAAGCUUUCUUAUGAAAAGACUAGUGUAAGCGAGAUUAAUUUCUCAUUUUUGAACUACCAACACACAUACACACACUGUUCGUCUUCCAAUGAGCUCAAUAUGGGGGUGGAAAAGAAAAGUGAUCACUGUUUAUCUUAUUUCCUCAUAUUUUUCCCAAAACAACCAGCUUCCUCAUGAUAUGUCUAUGUUUAUAAUUAUAUGAGAGUAUAGCAUACCCAUCCAA